UCGAAUGACGAAUGCCUAGCC
rnacentral:siRNA from 1 species